UACGUAGGGGGCAAGCGUUGUCCGGAUUUAUUGGGCGUAAAGGGCUCGUAGGCGGUUUGUCGCGUCGGGAGUGAAAACACCGGGCUUAACUCGGUGCUGGCUUUCGAUACGGGCAGACUAGAGGUAUUCAGGGGAGAACGGAAUUCCUGGUGUAGCGGUGAAAUGCGCAGAUAUCAGGAGGAACACCGGUGGCGAAGGCGGUUCUCUGGGAAUGUCCUGACGCUGAGGAGCGAAAGUGUGGGGAGCGAACAGG
rnacentral:rRNA from 1 species